GGCCAGACUCCUACGGGAGGCAGCAGUGGGGGAUAUUGCACAAUGGGGGGAACCCUGAUGCAGCGACGCCGCGUGGGUGAAGGAGUGCUUCGGCAUGUAAAGCCCUAUCGGCAGGGAAGAAGCAAGACGGUACCUGACUAAGAAGCCCCGGCUAACUACGUGCCAGCAGCCGCGGGAAUACGUAGGGGGCGAGCGUUAUCCGGAUUCACUGGGUGUAAAGGGAGCGUAGACGGCCAAGCAAGCCAGGGGUGAAAGCCCGGGGCCCAACCCCGGGACUGCAUUUGAAACUGUCAGGCUGGAGUGCAGGAGAGGUAAGUGGAAUUCCUAGUGUAGCGGUGAAAUGCGUAGAUAUUAGGAGGAACACCAGUGGCGAAGGCGGCUUACUGGACUGUAACUGACGUUGAGGCUCGAAAGCGUGGGGAGCAAACAGGAUUAGAUACCCUGGUAU
rnacentral:rRNA from 1 species